AGAUGAGAUGAGUAUUCUAAGGCGCGUGAAACUCUGGUUAAGGAACUCUGCAAACUAGCACCGUAAGUUCGCGAUAAGGUGUGCCACAGCGAUGUGGUCUCAGCAAAGAGUCCCUCCCGACUGUUUACCAAAAACACAGCACUUUGCCAACUCGUAAGAGGAAGUAUAAGGUGUGACGCCUGCCCGGUGCUCGAAGGUUAAGAGGAUGCGUCAGUCGCAAGAUGAAGCGUUGAAUUGAAGCCCGAGUAAACGGCGGCCGUAACUAUAACGGUCCUAAGGUAGCGAAAUUCCUUGUCGGUUAAAUACCGACCUGCAUGAAUGGCGUAACGAGAUGGGAGCUGUCUCAACCAGAGAUUCAGUGAAAUUGUAGUGGAGGUGAAAAUUCCUCCUACCCGCGGCAAGACGGAGAAACCCCGUGGACCUUUACUACAACUUAGCACUGCUAAUGGGA
rnacentral:rRNA from 1 species